rnacentral:rRNA from 1 species
CCGCGCCGUAUUAGCUAGUUGGUAAGGUAACGGCUUACCAAGGCAACGAUACGUAGCCGACCUGAGAGGGUGAUCGGCCACACUGGAACUGAGACACGGUCCAGACUCCUACGGGAGGCAGCAGUAGGGAAUCUUCCGCAAUGGGCGAAAGCCUGACGGAGCAACGCCGCGUGAGUGAUGAAGGUCUUCGGAUCGUAAAACUCUGUUAUCAGGGAAGAACAAAUGUGUAAGUAACUGUGCACAUCUUGACGGUACCUGAUCAGAAAGCCACGGCUAACUACGUGCCAGCAGCCGCGGUAAUACGUAGGUGGCAAGCGUUAUCCGGAAUUAUUGGGCGUAAAGCGCGCGUAGGCGGUUUUUUAAGUCUGAUGUGAAAGCCCACGGCUCAACCGUGGAGGGUCAUUGGAAACUGGAAAACUUGAGUGCAGAAGAGGAAAGUGGAAUUCCAUGUGUAGCGGUGAAAUGCGCAGAGAUAUGGAGGAACACCAGUGGCGAAGGCGACUUUCUGGUCUGUAACUGACGCUGAUGUGCGAAAGCGUGGGGAUCAAACAGGAUUAGAUACCCUGGUAGUCCACGCCGUAAACGAUGAGUGCUAAGUGUUAGGGGGUUUCCGCCCCUUAGUGCUGC